rnacentral:lncRNA from 1 species
UUGCCCCACGAUGAGGGAUGUCCCGCCCACCUCGGGCACCUCGAUGUCCCCAUGGGAUGAGUGACACCACCAUGGGUGGCACCCACUGCCCCACUCUUCCACCGACUUUCCCAGCCCAAGGGGCGCCGUAACAAUAACGAAUGCAGGGGUAAUUAAAAACCUAAACCGCCUAAAAUGCAAAAGCGGAAGGAAAUGGGCAACGCCAGAGGUGGGGACGGAGCAAAGGGAAAGAUAAUCAGAGGGAAAAGGAGGGGAAAGCAAUCAGAGUUGGGGAGCAGAGAGGCAGAUGCUGUGCAGGGAUAAGCGGCGGAGCAGCGCAGGGCAGCACCGUCUCCGGAGCUAUAAUUGCAUUCAUUGCGUCGCGGCCGCGAUAAGAAAUUCCCCAUGUGCCAAUGCUGUUUGUUUCCCCGUUGGAUGCAUAUUUAUUGGGGAUUUGAAUAGGGCCAGGAGCUGGAAUAGGUGCAGAAGGGUUCACAGCCCUGUGUACCCGCUGUGUCCACACUGUGUCCCCACUGCGCUCCCACCGUGUCCCCACUGUGUCCCCAUCAUGUCUCCAUUGUGUCCCCAUUAUUUCCCCACUGUGUCCCCAUCAUAUCUCCAUUGUGUCCCCAUUAUUUCCCCUCUGUGUCCCCAUCUUAUCUUCAUUGUGUCCCCAUCAUGUUCCCACUGUGUCCCCAUUAUCUCCCCACUGCGUCCCCAUCAUGUCUCCACUGUGUCCCCACUGUAUCCACACUGUGUUCCCAUCACAUCUCCGUUGCACCCCCAUAUCUCCCCACUGUAUCCCCAUCAUGUCCCUGCUGUGUCCCUAUUAUGUCCCCACUGUGUCCCCAUCGUGUCCCCAUUGUUUUCCCACCAUGUCCCCAUUGUGUCCCUACCAUGUCCCUAUUGUGUCCCCAUCGUGUCCCCAUUGUUUUCCCACCAUGUCCCCAUUUUGCCCCAGUUGUGUCCUCAUCAUGUCUCCACCAUGUCACUCCUGUAUCCCCACUGUGUCCCCAUCAUGUCUCCAUUGUGUCCCUACCAUAUCCCCACCAUGUCCCCAUCGUGUCCCCACUGUUUUCCCCCCAUGUCCCUACCACAUCCCCACCACGUCCCUAUCACAUCCCAAUUGUGUCCCCAUUGUGACCCUACUGUGUCACUACUGUUUCCCUAUUGUGUCCCCACUGUUUUCUCCCUGUGUCCCCACCACAUCCCCUCCAUGUCCCCGUCACAUCCCAAUUGUGUCCCCAUCAUGUCCCCAUUAUGUCCCCACUGUUUUCCCUGUGUCCCCACCACAUCCCCACCAUGUCCCCAUCACAUCCCAAUUGUGUCCCAAUUGUGUCCCCAUCGUGUCCCCAUUGUUUCUCCAUUGUGUCCCUACCAUGUCCCCAUCACAUCCCAAUUGUGUCCCCAUCAUGUCCCAUGUCCCCAUCAUGUCACUACUGUGUUCCCAUCAUGUCCCCAUUGUGUCCCCACUGUUUUCUCCUUGUGUCCCCACCACAUCCCCAUCACAUCCCAAUUGUGUCCCCAUUGUGUCCCCAUUGUUCCCCCCCACCCCUGUGUCCCCACCACAUCCCCAUCACAUCCCAGUUGUGUCCCCACUGUCUACUCCGUGUUCCCACCACGUCCCCAUCACAUCCCAAUUGUGUCCCCAUCACAUCCCAAUUAUGUCCCCAUUGUGUCCCCACUGUUCCCCCCACUGUGUCCCCACCAUAUCCCCACCACAUCCCCAUCACAUCCCAAUUGUGUCCCCAUCACAUCCCAAUUGUGUCCCCAUCAUGUCCCCACUGUGUCCCCACCACAUCCCCAUCACAUCCCAAUUGUGUCCCCAUCAUGUCCCCACUGUGUCCCCACCACAUCCCCAUCACAUCCCAAUUGUGUCCCCAUCAUGUCCCCACUGUGUCCCCACCACAUCCCCAUCACAUCCCAAUUGUGUCCCCAUCACAUCCCAAUUGUGUCCCCAUCAUGUCCCCACUGUGUCCCCACCACAUCCCCAUCACAUCCCAAUUGUGUCCCCAUCACAUCCCAAUUGUGUCCCCACCACGUCCCCACUGUGUCCACACAGCGCCCCCAUUGCAUCCCCAUUGUGUUCCCA